GUAGUGCACUCCUUUACACAGGUGCUGUGUUAACAGACGGACAGAAAACUGUCUUCAGCAUUCUAACCCCAUUUCAAAAGGUGUACAUCGCACGCACGCAUUCACACACACACACACGCACGCAUAUGCAACCGAGUGUAAACAAGUUUGGUUCCUCCUUCUCUUUCCUCUUUCCACAGUAAAACAUUGAUACCUAAAGCCAGUCACGGAACUUUUUAAAGAGCUGUGGACAAAAACAAGUUGUCUUUUCUCAGACAGUGAAACCGACCUCAACAGCAAGAAAGCCUCAAAUGAGCAGGGCGGUGGCAUUACCUUGAGGGCCUUGGAGGCCACGGUGAUGCCGGUCUGCAUCAUGCCGUCGGCGACGCCCAGCAGGUCGGUGUUCUGGAGGAAGGGAGUAACCAGUGUCACGUACUUGGCCCCGGACCA